UGAGCCUAGGAGUUCUGGCAUUUGUGAGCGCUCUAUUCCCACCAGGUACCACACUAAGUCUGGCCUCAAUAUGGUAACCUCCCUGGAGCAGGGGCCUCCCAGGUUGCCUAAGGAAGGGUAGAAGGGCCGAGGUCAGAAAAGCAUCAUGUCAAAACCCCCAGGACGGUCAGUGGUGGGAUUGUGCCUGUAAAUAGCCACUUUACUCCAGCCUGAAUGAAAA
rnacentral:sRNA from 1 species